rnacentral:rRNA from 1 species
GAUGAACGCUAGCUACAGGCUUAACACAUGCAAGUCGAGGGGAAACGAUAUUGGAAGCUUGCUUCCGAUAGGCGUCGACCGGCGCACGGGUGAGUAACGCGUAUCCAACCUGCCCAUCACUUGGGGAUAACCUUGCGAAAGUAAGACUAAUACCCAAUGACGUCUCUAGAAGACAUCUGAAAGAGAUUAAAGAUUAUCGGUGAUGGAUGGGGAUGCGUCUGAUUAGCUUGUUGGCGGGGUAACGGCCCACCAAGGCGACGAUCAGUAGGGGUUCUGAAAGGAAGGUCCCCCACAUUGGAACUGAGACACGGUCCAAACUCCUACGGGAGGCAGCAGUGAGGAAUAUUGGUCAAUGGACGAGAGUCUGAACCAGCCAAGUAGCGUGCAGGAUGACGGCCCUAUGGGUUGUAAACUGCUUUUAUAAGGGAAUAAAGUGAGAGUCGUGACUCUUUUUGCAUGUACCUUAUGAAUAAGGACCGGCUAAUUCCGUGCCAGCCGCCGCCGUAA